GGUAACACACCAUCAUUUAUUUGGGCAGAGUCUUCAAGUUACGCAACUACAACUCUCGAAAUACCAGAAAGUACAACCAUCUCCUUAUCCAGUCCACCUGGAAACAUUCAUAUCAAUCUGGCCAUUUUUAUACCAGUUAUUGCUCUUCUGUUCAUUAUCAUUCUUGGAAUUAUUGUCUACACAAAACGCAAGAGGUCACACACGUUAACUCGGCAGGAAUCUGGAUAUUAUGUCAACUUCAGCCGAGCGACUAC